rnacentral:lncRNA from 1 species
CAUAAUACAUAGUGAUUACUGCAAUUAGACAUAGCAAGUCCAGCUUUUCACUGUACCAGGAAACCGACACUGCGGAUUAAGUCUUCAGUCUUUAGCAUCACUCUGAGAAGGAUUUCGACAAAAGAAAAUUUAUUUAACCAUUCUGGAGUUCCCAUCAUGGUACAGCAGAAACGAAUCUGACCAGGAAUGAUGAGGUUGUGGGUUUGAUCCCUGGCCUCGCCCAGUGGGUUAAGGAUCCAGCAUUGCUGUGAGUGGUGGUGUAGGUCGCAGACGAGGCUUGGAUCUGGCAUUGCUGUGGCUGUGGCGUAGGCCAGCAGCUACAGCUCCAAUUAGACCCCUAGCCUGGGAACUUACCUAUGCUGUGGGUGUGGCCCUAAAAGGACAUAAGACAAAAAAAGAAGAAAAAAAACCAGUUACAUUUCUCUGUGUGUGUGUGUGUGUGUGUGUGUGUGUGUGUGUGUGUAAAUGAGACUAAGAGGAAAUAUGACAGCCAUGUCCAGAAAUAUAGGAAUACUCAUCACAUAAGAAAGACAUUCCUGAAGGUAAAUCAGGGUAAAAGUACCAGCCUUUUGAAUAUUAAUAAUUGUUAAGUGAACUGUGCAUGGUGCAUGUUAGUAGAGGUUUGGGGGAGAUAAAGAGACCGAACAAGGAGAAAGAUAAGACCAUGUAGUGGCAGUAGAACAUUCAAGCUUUGAAAGCUAUUCAUAGGGACAAAUACCUCAUAGCAUGAGAGGUCCAGAGGAUUAAGGCCUGGGAGUUACCAUCUACCUGGGGGGAGGGCAAACGAAUUCCCAGGGAGAGAAGGAUUAAAGUCAGAGAGGAUGUUUAUGUUGUCUAGAUGUCAUCACUCAGCAGUUCAGUAGGGAGUCUGUGAGUCAGAAAGCUUCAACUUGGACUCUUUGUGUAUGGCUAGCAGAUGAUGGCUAUAGUUUUGUGGGGUAUGAAAAGCAGGCAGAUGCUAAAUGUCUAAAAACCUGCUUAUUUGGACUUUAAAACUGUUGCAUCU